CGAGGCAAACCAUUUUAAAGGGGGAAAAUUGGAACAAGUUCCAAACUUUUAAAACACCUCAAGGGCAAUUUAGGGAUUUAAUCUGAACCAACAUUUAUGUCUGGGAAACAAAACGUCAAGAUUGAGACUGUGAAAAGCUACGGGAGAGAGAACGGCAAAGAGAGAGAUAGGGAGACAGGCACUGCCUCCGGCGGCCACCAUCAUCAUUGACGGCAGGCGAACGAGAUAUGAUGGCGGCUAGGGUAAACUACCGGCAGACUGAAGAUGAUAGCGACGGUCGGGUUUUUGGUUCGCCAAUCAUUCGCUUAUGUGCCGUUUUCAAAUAUAUUUUCUACUAGAUUCGUAUAUGAUGAACCCUAAAAAGAUUCGGAAGUCUAAGAUCAAUCGCUUCAUACAAGAUGGCAUGUCUUCACUCCUGAAAUUGAUGAACCCUAGAUUUACAGAUAAGUCGUUCUGGAAUUGUGCUAGAUUCGUAUAUGAUGAACCCUAAAAAGAUUAGCUAUUUUGUUAAAUUUUGUUCGAGUGUUCGUUGAUGAAGCGUCGUUGGAUGAUCAUGCUUCUCCUGUUUCCACUUCUAUCAAAAUGCUUGAAGUUACAGAGACUUUGUUCCAAAAACACUUCAUCCUCACAACCUCAAAUAAUCGAACUCUCCGAUUUCCCUGGUGGCGUCAAGGCUUUUGAAUUAUGUGCGACAUUCUGCUAUGGAAUCACAAUCACUCUUAGUGCAAACAAUAUCGUGUCAGCUCGUUGUGCAGCGAAAUACCUUCAAAUGACAGAAGAUGUUGAAAAGGGCAAUUUAGUCCAUAAACUAGAAGUAUUCUUCAAUUCUUGCAUUCUCAGUGGUUGGAAAGAUUGCAUUGUGACUCUUCAAACCACAAAGCCAUUUCAAUUAUGGUCAGAAGAAUUAGGGAUUACAAGCCGUUGUAUUGAAUCACUUGUGUCAAAAGUCGUUUCUAACCCUAUGAAGGUUAUAUCAGACAACCGUUCGAAUCAAAAGGGGGAUAUAGAAGAAGUUUGUACAGCGAAAAGAUGGUGGGGCGACUCGCUUUCAAAAUUACGGAUCGAUCUUUAUUGGAGAUUACAAGGCUGUAAACGAACCGAACGUUCAGCGAACAGUUCGUGAACCGUUCGGCGGGAAGUUUGUUUAUGUUCGUUCGAUUAGCUUAACGAACGAACACGAACAGAAAAUUUCGUUCGGUUAGCUUAGCGAACGAACACAAACAUAGGUCUCGUUCGUUCGACUACGUUCGUGAACGUUCGGUAAUAUGUUCGGCUACGUUCGUCCGUGUUCGUUUGAUUAUAUUAAAAAAAUAAUAAACAAUAAACAAUUUAUCUAAACAUAUUGAAAACUUGAAACUCUAUUUUUUUCUAAGUUAGCUAAAAUUUGGACGUGCUAAGACAUUUUUGGGGAUAAGUAUGUCUAGGUAAGUUAAAGUUGAUUCAUCGUUUGGUGGUGUAUUAGACUUCUUGUGUUUUGAUUUAUCAUUUGAUGGUUGUAUUUAAGUACUUAUAUCCAAUGUUUAAGGAUAACAAUAUUUUUGUUUUUUUAUUUUCAAGUUAAAUGUUUGUUUGCGUUCUUUUUUAUUUGCUUGCGUUCGUUUGUGUUCGAGACCAGUGUUCACGAACUGUUCGUGAACAACUGAAUUUCCUUAACGAACGAACAUGAACAUAAACUUAUGUUCGGUAUGCGUUCGUGAACAGUUCGGGAACAUGUUAAUUUCCUUAACGAACGAACAUGAACAUGAACAUGGCCUUGUUCCUGUUUGUUCGGUUCGUUUACAACCCUAAGAACAAUGGCAGCGCUUAAAUCGGGCGAGAAAGUGCCACCUAAUCUUAUCGGCGCUUCUUUGAAAAUCUACACUUCAAAAUGGCUUCUGAAAAUUUCAAGAAAACUCGAAAACGGGUCGGGUUUGAAUAGCGGGUCUGAUCAUUCAAGUUCAAAUAGUAGACUGCUUUUAGAAUCUAUAAUUACCUUACUCCCAACUGAACGAAAUGCGGUUUCGUGUAGCUUUUUUCUCAAACUAUUAAAGGGGGUCAACGUAUUUCAAGCUGCGGGUUCUUCAAAACUAGAAUUGGCAAGAAGGGUUGCACUUCAAUUGGAUGAAGCAAAAGUUUGUGAUUUGAUGAUUCCGUCUGUGUCAAACGGUAGUGAUACGAUAUACAAUGUUGAUGUACCCUUUUUACCUGCAAUAAUGUGUAGAAAGAAGUUGGGACACCUGAACUGGAGACUGGUGCGAUUAUAGCUGCGCUAGAUCUUUAUGAUGUUAUCCAACUUGAUUUUUUUAGUGUGAAUAUGAGAGAAAAUUAUGCCACAUGGAGUAUGUUGAUAAAAGCAUGGAAGGCCAUUUGUUUCAAAAGAUUAAGUGGCCAAGAGACCCUGUUGAUAAAAGCAUGGAAGGAGUAUGUUGAUAAAAGCAUGGAGUAUGUUGAAACGAUCUGCAAUUACUCUCAAUUGGGAGUAACCGCUGGAAGACAUUUACUCAUCUUCGCACGAUUAAGAGGUCUGAUCCCAUCUUCACUUACUUUCAUCUCUUAACUCAGACGUUUACCACAGUUUGGUCGGUUAUGAGGCAUUGGUGGUGUAAUCGGAGCGUCAAAGGGCAGGGUUUAAUACUAGUUUACAGCUUUUUUAUCUUGAUUGUCGGUCAAUCAAAAGUUUUGCACCACUCUUAAGAUUAUUGUAUACAUGUCUUAAGUUGAAGAUCUUCCUGUUAAGAUGUUGAAGUAGCCUCCAGGCAACAACCCUCCUCUUAAUUAACAAACAAUUGGAUAUGGGAAGAAGGGUUUUCAAUUACUAGUUUAAGAAGAAUCUCGGGGUCUGAAGUCUGUGUGUUACCGUCAUGGCGUUUGGCGCAGGAGAUGGCCAUGUCGGAGGGCGCCACGGUGGAACAUCGUCACAGGGCGCCACAGUGGAACAUUGUCACAGGUUGGCACGGAAGGCUGGCUAGAGGGCGCAUCGCGGCAUUAGAGAAGAGCUAUGUGGUAGAGGGCAAGGUUGGCUAUGAUGUUUUGUGGAUCGAUUCAAAGGUACAAACUCUACAUAGUUUCGGCAGUCUGACCGGUUUUGGUAUGAUUUUCGGAUUCCCUUCGCCAUCGUACCUCGAUUUGGCCUUGUAAUAAUUUGUUUUGAUUAUUGUAUGUUUGUUCGAGUUACACCUUGUUUUGCAGCCUAUAGUGACCGAACCACACAUUCAACAACAAGGAAAUCAUGAUAUUAGACCAUAACACAUGAAACUGACUGAGCUUGAAAUAUUGAUAAGUCGUGACCUGUACUAAUACUUUUGUGGAAUUGGGUGCUAUUGUGGAGAGUGGAGAAGACAACUUAAAUAUGUUCUUUUACAUAUUUGAAGUGUUUUUUAUUUUUCUUCAGCUGGGCGACACAUGAUUUUUAAGGGAUAAUAAAAAGUUCAUCAACUAGGUAUUGGUGGAAUGUUAUUAGAAAUGUUCAUCAGGACUUUGAAGAAUUGGAUGCUAAUGUCCUAUUAUUGCAUUAUAUUUAUGGGUGAGUGAAGAUAUAAUGUGAAAUUGUAAGUUGUUUGGAUCUUUAAGUACCUUCAUAUGUAAGGAAAAAUUAAAAGUUAUAAUUGAAAGCAAAAAUUAAAAGUCAUAAUGGUUUAU